GUGCACGCUGGCGGUAGGCCUAACCCCUGCAAGUCGCACGGCAGCACAGUAAGAGCUUGCUCUUCCGGGUGGCGAGUGGCGGACGGGUGAGGAAUACAUCGGAAUCUACUUUUUCGUGGGGGAUAACGUAGGGAAACUUACGCUAAUACCGCAUACGACCUACGGGUGAAAGCAGGGGAUCUUCGGACCUUGCGCGAUUGAAUGAGCCGAUGUCGGAUUAGCUAGUUGGCGGGGUAAAGGCCCACCAAGGCGACGAUCCGUAGCUGGUCUGAGAGGAUGAUCAGCCACACUGGAACUGAGACACGGUCCAGACUCCUACGGGAGGCAGCAGUGGGGAAUAUUGGACAAUGGGCGCAAGCCUGAUCCAGCCAUACCGCGUGGGUGAAGAAGGCCUUCGGGUUGUAAAGCCCUUUUGUUGGGAAAGAAAAGCAGCAGGUUAAUACCCCGCUGUUCUGACGGUACCCAAAGAAUAAGCACCGGCUAACUUCGUG
rnacentral:rRNA from 1 species